rnacentral:misc_RNA from 1 species
UCCCCGUUACCGGGGCAGUCUGACUAGACAUAUACAACUAAUCACGAGGGUUGCGCUCGUUGAAGGACUUAACCUAACAUCUCACGACACGAGCUGACGACAGCCAUGCAUCACCUGUCACUAGGCUCCCGAAGGCACAGCCCUAUUUCUAGGGCCUUCCUAGGAUGUCAAGCCUUGGUAAGGUUCUUCGCGUAGCAUCGAAUUAAACCACACGCUCCACCGCUUGUGCGGGUCCCCGUCAAUUCCUUUGAGUUUUAAGCUUGCGCUCGUACUCCCCAGGCGGGAUGCUUAACGCGUUAGCUUCGCUACCGAGCGGGUCGAUACGCCCAACAGCUAGCAUCCAUCGUUUACGGCGUGGACUAC